CCAGGCCCGAGUCUGAAAGUGCAGAGUCCUGAAGGCUGCAUGCCCAUUCUGGGUCACCCUCCUGCCUGCCUCUCAUUGGUCACAACCUGCUCUCCCACCCCUGGGCCUCCUUGACUCUGUCUGCAAGCGCUCAGGCCCCAUCCCCACCCAGCUGGCCACACUUAAACGCCUUGAGUCAGCACUGAACCGACACACCUGUGGGCUGUAGCCUUGAGCCGCAUUCAGCCUUCCAUGGGCUCCCUCCGGCAGGGGACUCUGGUGGUUGCAGCUGGGCUGGGGAUGCUUUGACGACCCUCAGGACAGACGUGACCCCACCCCAAACAUCAGUGACCAUGAGGCAUGGAGUCUUCUGACUCAGAACCAGGCACAUGGUUUGCGCUUCUGACACUGGCAGUGACGAUGAUGCCUCAACACCUCUAGGUUCCAGAGAGUACCAUGAUGCCAUCCUGACUUCCCUGGACACACUAGGGAAAGAGAGGCAGGCUGGGAGUAUGGAUCCACCUGUCAACACCCAUGUUCAGCGGGGAAGCAAUUACAGAAGCCAGACCUUCCACCUUCUGCAUCCCACAACGACCCUGGGUCCAUACUCCCAGAGGGUUAAAGAAUAGG